rnacentral:rRNA from 1 species
UGUCAAUUUCUUUGUUAUUUAUUUUUGUGUUACUUAAUUGUUUAAUUGAAGAAUCAUUGUGGUUAUUGUAAUUUUUUGAUUUAAUUUUUUAAACGAUAGUUUAUUUGUACCGUGAGGGGCUGGUAAAUAUUUUUUUGGAAGUAGAUUUUGUUUGUCGUACCUUGUGUAUCAGGGUUCAUUGAAUUUUAUUAUUUAUUUUUGUUUCCCGAUUUUGAAGGAGUUAAUGAUUUAUAUUAGUUACUGUUUCAUUAGUAUUAAUAAUAGGUUGUUGGUAGUGAAAUGUUAUUCGUCUUUGGAGGUUUCUGGUUUUUCAAGAAAUGAAUUUAAUUCAUGCAUUUUAUUUAAUUUCUGUUGUUUGUUUAUUUUAUUUUAUUUUAUGCUAAGAUUAAGGGGGAUUAGCUCCUUAUUUUAUUUUUAUAAUUGGUUAUAGUUUGAUUUAGUUUUGUGGAUUUUAUAGUGAUUUUCAAUUUGAUUAUGUUAAAAUUUUAUUUGUUCUUUUGUUAAUUUGUUUUAAAUUUAAUUUGUUUAUUGAAAUGUUUGCUUUAUUUUUGGUUUGUAUAGUAAUUAUUGUGUAAUUAGUAAAUUUCGUUUUUAUGUUGUAUUCAUUUGAGAUGUUAAUUUCUUUUUAGGAAUNNNNNNNNNNNNNNNNNNNNCUUGACGAGACAUAAGCUGUCUUAGGAGUAUUAUUUUAUUGAAUUUGGUUUUUGAGUUAAAAUUCUUAGAUGUUUUUAUGGGACGAGAAGACCCUAUAGAGUUUGACAUUUUUUCUUGUUGUGUAGUUUGUUUGUUUGGUUAUAUUUUAGUAGGUUAAAUGUUUUGUUGGGGUGAUGGGAGGAAUUCUUUUAACUCCUCUUUGUUUUUAUAUAUUUAUUUAUAUUAUCUUGAUCCAUUUAUUUUGAUUAUAAGAUUAAAUUACCUUAGGGAUAACAGCGUUAUCCUCCUUGAGAGUUCUUAUUGGCAGGGGGGUUUGCGACCUCGAUGUUGGAUUAAGGUGAAUUUUCGGUGCAGGAGCUGAAAGUUGAUUAGGUCUGUUCGACCUUUAAAAUCUUACAUGAUCUGAGUUCAGACCGGCGUGAGCCAGGUUGGUUUCUAUCUAUAAUGUUGUUUUAUACCUUAGUACGAGAGGACCGGGUAUUUGGAAUAAUUUUGUCUGUAUGAUUAUUAUUAAUAUGU